AACGAACGCUGGCGGCAUGCCUAACACAUGCAAGUCGAACGAGACCCUCGGGUCUAGUGGCGCACGGGUGCGUAACGCGUGGGAACCUGCCCUUAGGUUCGGAAUAACUCCCCGAAAGGGGUGCUAAUACCGGAUAAUGUCUUCGGACCAAAGAUUUAUCGCCUUUGGAUGGGCCCGCGUUGGAUUAGCUAGUUGGUAGGGUAAAAGCCUACCAAGGCGACGAUCCAUAGCUGGUCUGAGAGGAUGAUCAGCCACACUGGGACUGAGACACGGCCCAGACUCCUACGGGAGGCAGCAGUGGGGAAUAUUGGACAAUGGGCGAAAGCCUGAUCCAGCAAUGCCGCGUGAGUGAUGAAGGCCUUAGGGUUGUAAAGCUCUUUUACCCGGGAUGAUAAUGACAGUACCGGGAGAAUAAGCUCCGGCUAACUCCGUG
rnacentral:rRNA from 1 species